UGAGCAAUAUUUGUAUUUAUUCUAAUAAGCAUAGGUUUAUUUGCUAGUUUUGUUUAAUGUGUUCUAUAAAUAUUUUUCUACUGUCUUGAGUAGUUGUUUAUGGACAUCCCUUGCUUUUCGUCAUGGACCAGCUUAAUGGUGCAUAUAUACUGUGGAGAUGGUCUUUUCAACCAAAAAGAACUCCAAAGGCUGUUUUGAAUGGUGCAUAUAUAUAUUCUGGAGAUGGUGCAUAUACCCUAAAAUAUAUAUUCUGGAGAUGGCCUUUUGACCACUUCGAUUUAAUGAAGAGGCCUAAAGCGUUCCAUGAGAGAUUCAGUUCCAAGGACAAAGGUGGUUUGUGACUUGAGGAAAAAGUUCUGGAUCAAGCCUCACGGAAUCGAUAUUGGCUAUGGAGUCUGUGCCCAAUCUGCAGACUGCAGGUGCUGGUGCCUCAUCUUCUCAAGGUAGUGGCUAACGUAAUGAAUAUGCAGAAAAAACCCUAGUCAUGUGUCACGUAGACGUCGAAGCUUUCUCGUUGCCGACUGGAGAAUAGCUAUGUUGGAAUAGUGCUGAUGGUGUUCUAGUUAAACUGUCUGUAAUUUGAAGAGUGAUUCUACUUAUUUUGGUUGGUACUUAUUUGCAGUCAAAUAGUUUGAAAUAAAAUAUAUUUAUGUGA